AGCGGCGGACGGGUGAGUAAUGCCUAGGGAUCUGCCCAGUCGAGGGGGAUAACAGUUGGAAACGACUGCUAAUACCGCAUACGCCCUACGGGGGAAAGGAGGGGACCUUCGGGCCUUCCGCGAUUGGAUGAACCUAGGUGGGAUUAGCUAGUUGGUGAGGUAAUGGCUCACCAAGGCGACGAUCCCUAGCUGUUCUGAGAGGAUGAUCAGCCACACUGGGACUGAGACACGGCCCAGACUCCUACGGGAGGCAGCAGUGGGGAAUAUUGCACAAUGGGGGAAACCCUGAUGCAGCCAUGCCGCGUGUGUGAAGAAGGCCUUCGGGUUGUAAAGCACUUUCAGUAGGGAGGAAAGGGUAAGGUUUAAUACGCCUUAUCUGUGACGUUACCUACAGAAGAAGGACCGGCUAACUCCGUGCCAGCAGCCGCGGUAAUAC
rnacentral:rRNA from 1 species